AGGACGAACGCUGGCGGCGUGCCUAAAACAUGCAAGUCGAACGAACUAGCAAUAGUUAGCGGCGAACGGCGGAGUAAUACAUAAGUAACGUGCCCCAAUGUCCGGGACAAACGCAGAAAUGCUAUAAAUACCGGAUGUGGCCGAGGAGAGGCAUCUCUCUUCGAUUAAACGGUUUUUCGCUUUGGGAGCGGCUUAUGAACACAUCGAGGUUAGUUGGGUAGGGGUAACGGCCUACGAACGCCGAACGACGUGGUAGGGGUCUGAGAGGAUGACCGUCCCCCGAGGUCGGGACUGGAGACGACCGGCCCACACACCGUACGGGUGGCAGCUAGGUU
rnacentral:rRNA from 1 species